GACGAACGCUGGCGGCGUGCUUAACACAUGCAAGUCGAACGGAGUGGCGAACGGGUGAGUAUUACGUGAGUAACCUGCCCUCAACUGUGGGAUAAGCCUGGGAAACUGGGUCUAAUACUGCAUAGCUGGGGAUGGGCUCGCGGCCUAUCAGCUUGUUGGUGGGGUGAUGGCCUACCAAGGCGGUGACGGGUCGCCGGACUGAGAGGGUGAGCAGUAACAUUGGGAGUGGGGUACGGGCCAGACUGCGACGGGAGGCAGGAUUGGGGGAUAUGGCACAAUGGGCGCAAGCCUGAUGCAGCGACGCCGCGAGAGGGAUGAAGGCUUUCGGGUUGUAAACCUCUUUCGGUACAGAACGGGUAUGUGCAGAAGAAGCGCCGGCUAACUACGUGCCAGCAGCCGCGGUAAUAC
rnacentral:rRNA from 1 species